CUCGCCUCUUGCUGCUCCUCACUUCUUCACCACGCUGAGCUCCUCUCGACCAAUCGACGCACAGAACAUCGUCGGGUGGGAAGGUAGUUGGAGGACUCCUGGGCUCCGUCACUAGGGGACUCCGCCCCUCCCGAUUUCCUCCGGGCUACAGGCGACAGAGCUGAGCCAAGCGUUUACUGGGCAGCUGUUACGCUCAGAUUCCAAAUGAAAAUGUUUGAGAGCGCUGACUCUACAGCCACAAGAUCUGGCCAGGAUCUCUGGGCUGAAAUUUGUUCCUGUCUGCCAAAUCCUGAACAAGAAGAUGGUGCCAACAAUGCGUUCUCAGACUCCUUUGUGGAUUCUUGCCCUGAAGGUGAAGGCCAGAGGGAGGUGGCUGACUUUGCUGUCCAGCCAGCUGUAAAGCCUUGGGCUCCCUUGCAGGAUUCAGAAGUGUAUUUAGCAUCUCUAGAGAAGAAGCUAAGAAGAAUCAAAGGUUUAAAUCAGGAAGUGACUUCCAAGGACAUGCUUCGAACUCUGGCCCAAGCCAAGAAGGAAUGCUGGGAUCGGUUCCUCCAGGAGAAGUUAGCUUCAGAGUUCUUUGUGGAUGGACUUGAUUCUGAUGAGAGCACCUUGGAACAUUUCAAGAGGUGGCUCCAGCCAGAUAAAGUAGCCGUCAGCACAGAGGAGGUCCAGUAUCUGAUUCCUCCAGAGUCACAGGUUGAGAAGCCAGUGGCCGAGGACGAGCCAGCAGCCGGGGACAAGCCAGCAGCAGCAGAACAGUAAAUUACACACACACACACACACACACACACACACACACACACACACACGCCGAGCAGCUGUCUCGGGUCCAGAGCGAGCAGCGUGGAGCUCAGUGACAGCAGCAGGGAGAAAUCCACUGAAGGAAAAAACCCAAAUUUCCACUCCACAAAGAAAACAGCUGCAAGCCCCCAGGGACUUACUUGGGGCUGGCAUGUGUGACUGACUGUCUCGGAUGAAGUGACUGACCCAGUGCACACUGGAUCAAAAUGCUGCUUUCCUCUGUGUCUCACAGCUUGGCUGAGCUCUGUCACUGCAGGUUAGAAGUCUGCUAAAGAUCAAAUGUGAAAGUACUUGGAGAAACUGAGGCCUCUUAUGUGUAAUGUGUAAGUUAAGUGAGCCAUAUAUUUUCUUGCCUCUUCUGGACAUUCAUGCUUGUGUCCCAAGCAUUCCCUUGGUGAAUUGUCACGUGAGUGGGGCCAGUAAGAGUGAAGUCUGCUCCUUGAAUCCAAGCCCCAUCUGGGGCUUCUCUAACAAAUCUGUAGCCCUGUAACUCCAGAACCCCUGGCAGGAGCAGCUUUUCUGAGGAUGGAGCGUGGGACAGCCACCAGUGUGCUGAGCAGAGGUGGCGAAGGACAUUUCCAGCCCAGCAGUCGUCAUGGUAACAGCCAGGGCGGGCCAGGCAGGGAUGUGCAGAACCACGUGGGAUUGACCUUUCUGUGGAUGUCAGGUUUGAGCGAGAGCUGGGGAAAAACAGCAACAACUACUUCCCUCUGGCCCAGCCCUCAGGGCUUCUGGGCUGGGCUGAAUGAAGAAAGGGAGAAGCUGAGAAGUGGGACAGUUGGCGAGAGAGCCAAGAGAGAGACAGGGCUUUAGUCAGAGCCAGCUAGAGAACCCAUGGGAAGAGGGACAGGCUGGUCACCAGCAGGCUUCUGCGGUGAGCCCACCUGUGGCAAGCACUAGACCUCAGGCCCCCAGUUGGCAGCGCUCAUGGGUGGGUAUUAAAGGUCAGUUCCCUGUACUCAGAGCUCCCCCAGACUCCUUCAGAUCAAAUGUCAUCUUUUCCAUAUUGCAAAAGCCUUUAUUGCUCUAAGGAAAACAUGCUAAAUUAAAAAGAACCAAAUUAUUCUUUUAAAAAUAGAAAUAUUAUAAAUGGAAAAGUUCAAAGAAAAUAAAAGGCUUUCCAAUCCUCCCUCUGCUUCUCCCAGCUCUAAAAUUCCUCCACAGUUGCUUCCCAUGCCUGCCAGGUUGGAGGAAAGGGACAGGCCUGGGCCCAGCGGCCUCUUCUCUGACAAGGGCACAGAAAGGGAAGCCGGAUUGGUCGUUGCCUGAAUUUGAGGGGGGCUUGGACUGACAGGCUUCCCGCUAAUUCGAACCAGUGAAGGAGACUCAUUUCCCUCUAUGCCCCCUCUUUCUCCUAUUGGGGCGGACAUACAGGCAACAGAAAGAGGUGCCCACAGGUGCCCUGUGACCCUUUGAGGGAGAGGCGAGGGGUGCAGGGCAGCCUCAGGUGAGCUCCAUGGAGAACAUAGCUUACCAGUGGAUCCCAUUUCCAGACUUUCAAAUCAUGGCCAUGCAAGAGAUCUCGAGCUUUCUGGGACACACUGCUAUGGAAAACAAGACCACAGCCUCAGAAUAAAAAAUGUGGUCUUCUUAUUUACUGAAAAUCCACCUUCAGGAAAGACAUGAAGGGGGCACUCACCAGCCAAUAGGUGGGUAACUAACACAGCAGCACCACAGGCUUUCUUUUAUACAGGAGUACAAUCCCCAAAUCCCCUUGGAGAACUGCCUCUGGGCCACUUGUACAGGGGAAGGGGACACUUGGCAGGAGAGGGGACCGCAGACCUUGUAGUCAUAAGUUAGCAUGCUGCUAAAAGACUAUUUGAAAUGAGUGCUGAUUACAUAUAUUUAAAAGUGGUCAGCAUUACUGAAGCUCCAGCUUUUUUUUUUGAGGCAGAGUCUUACUCUAUCACCCAGGCUGGAAUGCAGUGGCAGCAUCUCGGCUCACUGCAACCUCCACCUCCCAGGUUCAAGCAAUUCUCCUGCCUCAGCCUCCCCAGUAGCUGAGAUUACAGGUGCCCACCGCCAUGCCUGGCUAAUUUUUCUAUUUUUAGUAGAGACGGGGUUUCACCAUGUUGGCCAGGUUGGUCUUGAACUCCUGACCUCAAGUGAUCCGCCCACCUCAGCCUCCCAAAGUGCUGGGAUUACAGGCAUGAGCCACCGCGUCCGGCCAAGAUCCAGCAUUUUUGAGACUCGAACCUUUCUUUCUCUGACUGACAUGUAUUGUGGAGCUCAAAAUAAACAUUCUGUAUUUUGGGA